rnacentral:rRNA from 1 species
GGAUUAGAUACCCUGGUAGUCCACGCCGUAAACGAUGUCGACUUGGAGGUUGUGCCCUUGAGGCGUGGCUUCCGGAGCUAACGCGUUAAGUCGACCGCCUGGGGAGUACGGCCGCAAGGUUAAAACUCAAAUGAAUUGACGGGGGCCCGCACAAGCGGUGGAGCAUGUGGUUUAAUUCGAUGCAACGCGAAGAACCUUACCUGGUCUUGACAUCCACAGAACUUUCCAGAGAUGGAUUGGUGCCUUCGGGAACUGUGAGACAGGUGCUGCAUGGCUGUCGUCAGCUCGUGCCG